AUUUAAUCAAAUUAAUUACCAGAAAAAACGACGAGGGGAUUGCCUGUAAAGCACCAUUUUAAUUUUUAAUUGCAACACUAAUUCUUAUUAUUAUACAUGAAAAUCUGAUUAAGCAAAUCACUAAGCAGCAAGCACUACUACUAGUUUAACCAGAAGGCAAUCAGCGAAAGCCAGACUCCCAUUCCCGUCCCACCAGAGACAAAAUGUGGCGAAGGAGCUUUAGCAGCACCACCGGGACCGCCGCCGCUACAACCGCGUUGAAGGACAAGAAAUGGGACGCUCUCGUCAUCGGCGGCGGCCACAACGGCCUCACUGCCGCCGCAUACCUCGCACGCUCCGGCCUAUCCGUCGCCGUCCUUGAGCGGCGCCACGUGAUCGGCGGUGCCGCCGUCACAGAGGAGCUGGUUCCGGGCUUCAAGUUCUCUCGGUGUAGCUACCUCCAGAGCCUCCUCCGCCCCUCCAUCAUCAAGGAAUUAGAGCUGGCGCGGCAUGGAAUGAAGCUGCUGAAGAGGAGUCCUUCGUCCUUUACGCCCUGUUUGGAUGGAAGAUAUCUUCUUUUGGGGCCAAACAAGGACCUUAACCACUCUGAGAUUUCCAAAUUCUCCAAACAGGACGCCGAUGCUUAUCCAAGAUAUGAGACUCAGCUGGAGAAAUUUUGUGAAUUUAUGGACCCCUUGCUGGAUUCAGCUCCUCCUGAAUCUUUGCAAUGCGAGUCAUCUUGUAGUGUUAGUGAUCGGUUCAAGAAUAAGAUGCACAAUUCCAUGUUUUGGGCUCGGUGUCUGAGACAAGCGGCCGCCUUAGGCCAAAAGGACUUUGUCGAGUUUAUGGACCUUUUGCUAUCCCCGGCUUCGAAGGUUUUGAAUAACUGGUUUGAGGCAGAAGUUCUGAAGGCAACCCUUGCAACGGAUGCUGUAAUAGGAACUACGGGAAGUGUACAUACACCUGGGAGUGGAUAUGUUCUGCUACAUCAUGUGAUGGGAGAAACUGAUGGUGAGCGUGGAAUUUGGUCGUAUGUUGAAGGUGGGAUGGGUUCAGUAUCCUUGGCUAUUGCUAAUGCCGCUAAGGAAGCUGGGGCUCAUAUUGUAACAUGUGCAGAGGUUCAGCAAUUAUUGAUUAAUGACUCUGGCACUGCGGACGGGGUUUUGCUGACUGAUGGCUCACAGGUGCAUUCUUCAAUUGUUUUAUCAAAUGCAACCCCUUACAAAACAUUCAAGGAAUUGGUACCAGAUAAUGCUCUUCCUCCUGAUUUCGUCCGUGCAAUUAAGUACUCUGAUUACAGCGCUGGAACUACAAAAAUAAAUUUAGCGGUUGAUGCAUUGCCCCAGUUCAAAAGUUGCAAUUUAGGUCAUCCCGAUGCAGGUCCUCAGCAUGUGGGCACCAUUCACAUUGGUUCUGAGAGCAUGGAGGAGAUUAACUCAGCCUGUCAAGAUGCUGUCAAUGGAUUGCCAUCAAACAGACCAGUUAUUGAGAUGACAAUUCCCUCUGUACUCGACAAAACUAUUUCUCCACCUGGCAAGCAUGUGAUCAACUUGUUUAUUCAAUACACACCAUAUAGUCCCUCAGAUGGCCACUGGGGAGAUACUGUUUACAGAAAAUCUCCGCUCUGGGCCUCUGACUAGUUCUUUCAAAUGGCAUCGUACCUUUGCAGGAAUCGUUUGCACGAAAAUGUUAUAGCUUGAUUGAUGAAUAUGCACCUGGGUUUAGUUCAUCAAUUAUUGGUUACGACAUGUUGACUCCGCCAGACCUUGAAAGGGAAAUUGGUUUGACAGGAGGGAAUAUCUUCCAUGGUGCUAUGGGAUUGGAUUCGCUCUUCCUCAUGCGACCUGUGAAAGGAUGGUCAAAUUACAGAACGCCACUCAAGGGGCUGUAUUUGUGUGGGAGCGGAACCCACCCCGGGGGCGGUGUGAUGGGGGCACCCGGGCGUAAUGCUGCACGCGUAGUUCUUGAAGAUGUGAACAAGCCAUUAAAAUGAUUUUGAGAUUUGUGUCUUAACCAGGUACCAAUCUGACUGGUUCCAAUUUCUUAUGUUUCGGGUAUGCCGAAAAUUUCAGGCAUUCCACAUUGUGUUUGUAUCUUGUAUCUUCGUCGAACAAUACGAGACUGCAUUGUACCUGUUUCUGUUAAUUAUCUUUUGAUACAA